GUUAAACAUUAAAAACAAGCCACCCGCCUAACUGCGUCCAAGCUGCUCCGCGGAGUCCUUCUGAAGAGUGGCUAAUUGCUCGCGUGUUCAGGGAUUCCUGAAACUCCGGAAGAGCUGGGAGUGCAGAAUAAUUUUUGACACUGCUGUUAGUCUCAUGCUUAGCAGUGGUUUAACAACAACUAGUGUCCAGUGUUCUGAUGGCCAGAAGCUGAAUUAAAACAAGUGUUGACACGAACAAGCAUCUCAGUUUCAUAGUUCUACUCUUACAAGUGGGAAGGCAAGUUACCACCCUCUGCUCUACACCUGCCAAUGCAGUUCGGGGUGGAAGGAGGGGAGGAUAUUCUGAUGGAUGAAAUAAAGAAGAGAGGAAUCAAGGCUGGAACUCUGCUGCUGUGUUGAAGGAUAAUGGCUGAUGUCUAGGACAGAAAUGACCUAAGGGGAUAGCCCCCAGUUAUGAUUAGAGUUGUUAAGGCAUAAAGUGUGGGCCGAGUCAGUUUAUUUUUCUAGUAGCAACUGGAGGAAUUUUAACAUGAAUUUAU